GACGAACGCUGGCGGCGUGCUUAACACAUGCAAGUCGAACGAUGAACCCGGAGCUUGCUCCGGUGGAUUAGUGGCGAACGGGUGAGUAACACGUGAGUAACCUGCCCUUGACUCUGGGAUAACUGCGGGAAACUGUAGCUAAUACCGGAUACGACCCUCGGCGGCAUCGCCAGGGGGUGGAAAGAAUUUCGGUCAAGGAUGGACUCGCGGUCGAUCAGCUAGUUGGUGAGGUAACGGCCCACCAAGGCGACGACGGGUAGCCGGCCUGAGAGGGUGACCGGCCAGACGGGGACUGAGACACGGCCCAGACUCCUACGGGCGGCAGCAGUGGGGAAUAUUGCACAAUGGGCGCAAGCCUGAUGCAGCAACGCCGCGUGGGGGAUGACGGCCUUCGGGUUGUAAACCUCUUUUAGCAGGGAAGAAGGGAAAGUGACGGUACCUGCAGAAAAAGCACCGGCUAACUACGUGCCAGCCGCCGCCGUAA
rnacentral:rRNA from 1 species